rnacentral:lncRNA from 1 species
AAAAUCAUCUUUAACUUUAACAUUGCUAAAAAGUAAAGAGCUUAAUUCAUCAUAUCUUAGAAAAACUACAAACCCUAAUAAAGUCAUAGUUAAAUCCCUUACAAUCAACAAAUCUUCUGAAUUUGAAUAUUUUUCACAAAGUUGUAUUAACAUAUCAGUAAUAACCGGUUCUUUUUUUAGUAAACUGUUUUUGUAAGCCGUACGUUUUGCAGCUUCUUAUAUGGAUGAGACAAAUGAGUUUUCUGUAGGAUCGGUCAAACCAUUGAUCUUGUGUGCCCAUUUAAUCCCGUACUUAGCAUUGUCAAUAGGGUGAAAAGUCGAACCUUGAUCAAGCAAAUGAGUAAAAUAAAGUGCGAUAUGAAUAGGUUGGGCUGGAAAAGCAGCAAAACCUAGCUUAGUUAUAUACUGUUCCCAACGUUUAAAUUCAUAAAAAUAAGAUUUAAUAGUAUUGUCACUUCUGCUUCCUAGCAGUAACUUGCACAUCUUAGGGUAUAGCUAAUAUAAAG